GUUUUAAUAGUUUAAGAAAAACAUUAGUCUUGUAAACUAAAAAUAAUUUUUUUUUAAAACU
rnacentral:tRNA from 1 species